UACAGAGGUCUCAAGCGUUGUUCGGAUUCAUUGGGCGUAAAGGGUGCGUAGGCGGCGCGGUAAGUCGGGUGUGAAAGCCCGGGGCUCAACCCCCGGAAGUGCAUUCGAUACUGCGUGGCUAGAGUACUGGAGAGGAUGGUGGAACUCUCGGUGUAGAGGUGAAAUUCGUAGAUAUCGAGAAGAACACCGGUGGCGAAGGCGGCCAUCUGGACAGAUACUGACGCUGAGACGCGAAAGCGUGGGGAGCAAACAGG
rnacentral:rRNA from 1 species